CCAUCACCAAAUGAAAGAAACCAGCAGGAAAAAGUCACUUUUCCAUUCUAGACUUGGUUUUUUUUUGCUUUUCUAGGCAAAGUGUGUGACCCAGUGUGGCAGGAAUUCUGACAGGAGAAUUCCCUCCCCAGUCCCAGCCAUGGCAGGGGGAGCUGGGCAGGUCACCCACCUUUGAUUAAGUGAUUCCAGCACCUGCUGAAAGCUUUGCUCAAAACAGGAUAAAUUUUUAAUCCCUCCAAAUUGCUUCUGCAGCUGCACAAGGUUUCUCUUUCUUUCCUAAAAUAUUGAUAAGGAGUCUCCUGGCUUUCCAUGGGGGUGACCUGCACCUUCUUGUGGCUUUUGAAAAGCUGUGGAUGAAAAUUGAGGCAAAACAUCUCGUGCCCCAGAUCUCAAAGAAAGCUCUGCUCUCACCAAGGGUUUUCAUGGCCAGGAACAUAACAAAGCACAUCAGAGGAUUUAACUACUGUUUUCCAGUGUUUCAGUUAAUGCCACAGUACCCUGAGUGAAGCUGGUUGAG